UGUGAAGGCACCCAAAAAACCUUCAUCUCAGGGCUUGCUGCAGUUUUCGCAACAUUCUACGUGUUCAACCUGGAAUACCAAGAAGAAGCUGCAAGGACCCUGGAGUUUGUGCAAAGGCGCCUCAUUGGGAUCAAUCCCGAAAGGGGAGGAAAGACCAGCCAGGGAAAAGUGGUGUCAAAGAGGACGGGGAAGCUGGUCCACAAAAAGGCAACAACGGUGAAUCCCCAUGUGGCCACUCUCCUAAAAAAUUUGAUGGACUUUGAGUGGGGGUUUAUUUAGUUCAAACUGUCUCAGGUGCCCAUGGUCAAUUUUUUUACUCACAGUUGUUGAAAACCUGUUUAUGUUUAGUUUUUAUUGUUGUGAAAUGUGUGUAAUGAAGUUAGCUUUUACUUUGUUCUUAGCUGCUAUGCAGUGACUUUAACUGAACUGUUUCAAUGUUUCGGUGAACGGAGGAAGGAAGAGGAAAAAAUAACAAGCAGUAAAGUGAAGAGGAUUUGAAUUGGCUGAUGAUUUCUAUUCUGUUUGCAAACAGUCAAACCAGCCUCGAUCAAUUUUGACCCAGUAGGACAACACAAAGUUUAAUAAAUGUAAUGUGAUCUAAAUCCCAUGUCAUAGUUCAAGAAAAAAUAUGACAGUCAAGUAAUGAUGCUUGUGGAUUUUAUGGAUACUACAAAAGUUCAGUUUUAAUAAAUAUCAAUGUUGUGAG